UAUAAGGGAUUUUGAGUUUUUGCUUGCAACGUUUGACCACUCGUCUUAUUCAAAUUUUUUUAAAAUUAUUAUUUAUUUUAUUUGUGACUUACUUUAUUAUCUAUAGCACUUUAAGCACAAUUUUUUGUUUUUUAUAUUUGCAAAAAAAAUUAAAUAAGAAGAGUGGUCAAACGUUGCAAGAAAAAACUCAAAAUCCCUUAUA
rnacentral:pre_miRNA from 1 species